UACGUAGGUGGCGAGCGUCGUCCGGAUUUACUGGGCGUAAAGGGAGCGUAGGCGGGCUUUUAAGUGAGAUGUGAAAUACUCGGGCUCAACUUGAGUGCUGCAUUUCAAACUGGAAGUCUAGAGUGCAGGAGAGGAGAAUGGAAUUCCUAGUGUAGCGGUGAAAUGCGUAGAGAUUAGGAAGAACACCAGUGGCGAAGGCGAUUCUCUGGACUGUAACUGACGCUGAGGCUCGAAAGCGUGGGGAGCAAACAGG
rnacentral:rRNA from 1 species